rnacentral:tRNA from 1 species
GGGAUUGUGGCUCAGUGGUACAGCACUUGCCUGGCAUGCAUGAGGCACUGGGUUUGAUCCUCAGCACCA